rfam:Picea glauca, whole genome shotgun sequence.
ACAUGAUUACAUCAUAACAUUAAUGCACUGGAUCCCAUUACAACUCCACAAUUAAGCGCACUUCGGCUUGAGUAGUACUGGAAUGGGUGACCACCGGGGAAGUCCUAGUAUUUUACAUGCC